rnacentral:lncRNA from 1 species
GGUGCCUGCAGCUCCCAGCGCACCAAAAGCCUUGGUGAAGCUGAGCUGCCCGGCCACUGCCACUCCUCCUGCAGACGAAGGAACUGAGAACCACAGGGACAGUGGAAGAGGAUGGAACCGCAUCUUCAACCCAGAUUUCAAAUACCAGUGUUUUCAAACUAGAAGAGAAUCCAAAACCUGCACUUAUUCUGGAGGAAAAAAAUGAAGCUAACCAUCUAGGAGGACAAAGAGAUUCUAAUAAGCAAGGAGGUAGUUAUACACAAGGAAAUCCAGGAACGUUUAGGCUUCAAGGACAACCAGGCUAUUUUAACAAGCUAGAGAAACCAAGACAUUUUAAGCAAGGGAGAGCAGGAGUUUUAAACCAGCCUGGGAUUUUAAAGAAUUCAGGAAAAUCUAACCAAAAAGGGAAUCCAGAAUCUUCUAAUAAGCAGGAAAACUCAGGAUCUUCUAGCCAACUAGGGAGACCAGGGAUUUCUACCCAACAGGGAAAUCCAGGGUCAUCUGACCAACAAGAGAAACCAGGGUCAUUUAGCCAGAAAGUGAUGGUGGGGUCAUCUAGCCAACAGGGGAAGCCAGGAUCAUCUAGCCAACACGGGAAUCUAGGGUCAUCAACCCAGAAAGGGAAUUUAGGAUCUUCUAGCCUACAAGGGCAUCUGGGUUUAUCUAGCCAUCAAGGGAAGCCAGAGUCAUCUGGCCAACAGGGGAAGCCAGGGUCAUCUAGCCAACAAGGAAAUCUAGGAACUUCUGGCCAACAGGAGAAGCCAGGAUCUUCUAGCCAACAGGGGAAGCCAGGGUUGUCUAGCCAUCAAGGGAAGCCAGGGUCAUCUAGCCAACAAGGAAAUCUACAUUUAUCUAGCCAGCAAGGGAAUCAAGGACCUUCUAGCAAACAGAGGAAGCCAGGUUCAUCCAGCCGUCAAGGAAAUCUAUGAUUAUCUAGCCAGCAAGGGAAUAUAGGAUCUCCUAGCCAACAGGAGAAGCCAGAGUCUUCUAGCCAACAAGGGAAUCUAGGGUCAUCUAGCUAUCAAGGGAAGCCAGUGUCAUCUAGCCAACAAGGGAAGCCAGUGUCAUCUAGCCAACAAGGGAAGCCAGGGGCAUCUAACCAGCAAGGAGAUCUAGGAUCUUCUAAGCAGCAGGGGAAGCCAGGAUCAUCUAGCCAGCAAGGAAAUAUAGGGUCAUCUGGCCAGGAAUGGAAGCCAGAGCCAUCUAGCCAUCAGAGAAAAUUAAGGUCAUUUUACAACCAACGACAAAGAAAAAAUAUUGACAGCACUUUUGAUGGCAAUAUAAUGGACUUUGAGGUUAGUGCUAAU